CCCUAAGUUCAGGGUUCUUUCAUUGUUAUACAACCCAUGGUGUGCAGGUGUCACCUGGCCCUCUUUGCUUUGCCCUGUGGGUUUUGAGGAACCAACACGAAAAAUGCUGAUACACAGUGAGGAAUAAGUUCUCAUGAGGCCAGAAGUCCUGUGUCUUUUGAAGAUAUCCAAGAGACUGGCUGGCUACCUUGUCAGUUUGCAGAUAGGGCUUUCUCAGACCCUUCACAGUUCUUGAUAAUGUUUCCCUUUGUAAUUAGUAAGUAAUCUAUGGGUGAUACAUUGGCACUGUGUGAAUAUCUUGUUUCUCUACAACACUUUACCUAAUGGUUUUAGAUUCCAUAUAUAAUCUUUGCCUGAAUCAACAAGUUUAUUGGAGGUAGCAAAAUGGUGAUUUUCUGUUUCUAUUAUUCUUUCCACAUUUAUUAACUGCAUUCUUCCGUAGAGCUUCCCCUCAUCCACUGGCGAUGAACUACAGUUCCUUACAAAAAGAGUCACAGGUGGUCAUUUUAGAUCACAGAUCCCAGAGGGACAAAAAGCCCUACCACCCUCAGCAUGUGGUUGAGCAGAGUAUCUGGUGCUUCAUAGAUCCUGGCUUGGGUGACUUGAACAGAGUUCAGAACAACUUUAGAGCAAGCUCAGAAAUGGCAAGGUUAGAAGCAGAUUUGCCGUGAUUUUACUUAUAAGUAACAAGGAAAAAAACGCUUUACUCCUGAUAAAUGGAAGGCACCAGCUUGUCUAUAGGAAUAAGAAAGGAAACUGAUGACAUGAUUUGCUAAAUCCAAAUCCUUUUAGUAAAAUGGGGGCUGGAAAAUGGAAAAGCCUGCCUAGAUGUCACCGUAAUGUUUGGUUAUGCUCAGACUAGGUGCUCUCUAAAUACCCGUUGAAUGAGUGUUGAAUGAUUCCAGUUACUCCCCUGGGUAUGGCUUUAAUGAGCUCCUAGGAGAAGCUAGCCAUACCCCUUAACAGUGCCUGACAGCUGCAAG
rnacentral:lncRNA from 1 species